AAUGGCGCAUACAAAGAGAAGCGACCUCGCGAGAGCAAGCGGACCUCAUAAAGUGCGUCGUAGUCCGGAUUGGAGUCUGCAACUCGACUCCAUGAAGUCGGAAUCGCUAGUAAUCGUGGAUCAGAAUGCCACGGUGAAUACGUUCCCGGGCCUUGUACACACCGCCCGUCACACCAUGGGAGUGGGUUGCAAAAGAAGUAGGUAGCUUAACCUUCGGGAGGGCGCUUACCACUUUGUGAUUCAUGACUGGGGUGAAGUCGUAACAAGGUAACCGUAGGGGAACCUGCGGUUGGA
rnacentral:rRNA from 2 species